AUGGGCGAUAAAAGAACGAAAGGAGAGAGAGAACGAAGAGUGACGUUUCACUCGAGAGUGCACAGUGACACCACAGUUUGCCGCAGAAGUCUGCAUAGCACCCACUUGGCAACUGGCGGGAGUGAUGGAUUCUGCGGACAUUGUCAUCUGAAUUCAGCGAUGGGAUCAACUGCUGGAUCCCAGUGAUAACCCGAGUGCCUGCAGAAGGAACCAGUUCUUUUCUACGUGUCUCGGAGCUGUGUGUCGGCUUUCUAGGGAGCUUUGAUUCAGCGCCAUCACCAUUUCAGCAUGCAAAGG